ACGCUCGACACCUACGGGAAGCAGCAGUGGGGAAUAUUGGGCAAUGGGCGCAAGCCUGACCCAGCAACGCCGCGUGAAGGAAGAAGGCCCUCGGGUUGUAAACUUCUUUUAACAGGGACGAAGCAAGUGACGGUACCUGUUGAAUAAGCCACGGCUAACUACGUGCCAGCAGCCGCGGUAAUCUGAGCGGGCUGGCAAGGC
rnacentral:rRNA from 1 species